CCCACUGAGCAAGGCCAGGGAUCGAACCUGCCACCUCAUGGUUCCUAGUCAGAUUCGUUAACCACUGUGCCACGACGGGAACUCUGCCUUGUGCUCUUUAAUGGGAUUGUGUUAUAUGCCACCUUUGUCCUGUUCCUUCCCUGGUCUUACCUCUGGCGGAGCUUGUUUUCUGCCUUGGAGCCGGGGGUGGAGGAACAGCCUGAACUAUUGGAGGUGGAUUUGGAAGACUCUGAGGAGAGCAUCCAAGUUAAAACCCCAAAGGAGGCAAAGACCUGGAUACCUACUGCCUCUUUUAAUUGCUUGUACUUACAGGAAGCCUAGACCCUAAGUCACUAGGCCUGGCAAGAACUUCGGAGAGCCUCCCAUUCACUCAUUCAUUCAGCCACUCAAUGCUGUCAGCUCCCCUGUAUGUUCAGCACUGGGCUGGGUUAGACUGGACCCUAAAACUUAGUCUCUGCCCCCAAGGAACAUAGAGCUUAGCGGGGAAGACAGAUGUCUAGAGACAAAAUUAUAGUUCAGGGUGAAAAUCAUUAUAGGGAGAUGUGAGCACAUCACAAAAAGAGAUGCUAAGUCUAAUUCUUUAAUUUCGCAAUUGCAGAAAAUGAGGUUACCCAGAGAGGGUAAGAAACUUGCCCCAGGUCCCAUUGCAAGUUAGUGACAGACGUGGAACUAGAAUCCUUUCCCAGCUCCCACUUCUUUGAACUUUGACCUCCCAUUCCUUCCUCUUCUCAUUAAUUUAACAACUAUUAUGGAGCCCCUACCAGAGGCUCUAGGUGCUCACAUGCCCUAAGGGAGCUAUAUAGACACCCUUCCUGCCCACCAGAGCCUCCCUGAGGGGAGGAGGCAGAUGAAACCCAUCAGCAAGUCAAUCAAUUGGAUGAAUGGAGCAAGCUGUGUGCCCUAAAGAAAAUAAAGCAGGGAGCGAGCCAGAGUAGCUUGACCUGGCUCCAGUACGGAUGCCGGGGAAGGUCACUCUGAGCAAAUGACCCACGAGGGCACGUGGAGUGAUAAGAAGGGAGCCACACAGACCAGAGAGGAACGUUCCAGGCAGAAGGAAGAGCAACAGCCAGCCCUUGUUCUGUGCUUCCUCCAAGACGAGAGAACCGUGCGCUAGAAGGGAUCAGUCACUCUGGAGGAAGCUGGCUGCCACGUCCUAAGGACCCUCAAGCGACCCUUUGGAGAGAUGCACAUGAUGAGGAACUGAGUCCUCCAGCCAACAGCCCUGUGAAGGGCACCAUCUGGGCACCAUAUCCUCCUUCAGAUGACUGCAGCCCGGCUGACAUCAUCACUGCCGCUUCAGGAGACCCCGAGCCAGAAACACCAGCUAAGCUGCCCCCUGAUUCCUGACGCUCUGAAACGUGUGCUCAGUCUCCAGGCUCUUGGAGUAUCUGUGACUGGCCUCUGCCUAGCUUCUGAGGAUGGCUUCUCCAGCACCUGGUUCCUGCUGUGGAAAAGGACCAGCAGUACAUGAUAGGCAGCAGUUCCUCCAGUACCUGUCCUGCUUACGUGCUUUCAUAGCAGAGGAGUAACUCCAAUAAGAUGAUUCUCUGUGAACAGCUUUCUCCAGCAUCCUAGAGGGCAGUUUUCCAGCCUAGUGGGUGACCUUCUAGCAAGUUCCACCACCAUGGCAUCAUAGACACUCUGUCCAGUAAGCCACAAGGCUUGGAUCGCAGCCUGGAUGUGUGGAAGCAGGAUUCUUCCUGAGCACCCCAUUUCAUUAUUUUAGCCCUAUGGGCAGUAGCUGUGCCUCAUAUCUGCUACUCCUAUAUUCUUUAAUAAGAUUCUUUUUUCUUCUUACUAGCCAAUCCUUCAUUACUAGAGUCUCAUUAUAAUCUUUAAAGUUUUCUUUCCUUUUUUUUUUUCGGUCUUUUUGCCUUUUCUAGGGCCUCUUCCCA